GAUCUGAGAGACGGACUGAGAGCAGCUUCUUCUCUCCUCAAGUUUCCUCACACAUGGAGAAGAGUCUGAAGAAGAUGUGAAGAGAGUUCAGGGACGCCCCAACGGUCCGUGGUCCGUGUGAGCACUGCACUUCUCGGCAUCGCUCGCCUGGGGCGCCGGAGAAGCCUGGACCGGCCCUGGGUUUAUUUACAAGAUUUAUUGCAGAGUGAAGAUUGAGGAUCAUCAGCUGUUUGGUUUGGUUCUGUUAGCAGCCUCAGGUCAACGACAGCUCCAGAGUAAAAGCUGUUUCUAGCCUGUUUUUUCUCCUUUAUGGCCCUGAAAUGCCUCCCUGAGGGUCAGAGGUCAAACAGGUGGUUACCGGGUUGUGAAGAGUCCCUGAUGAUGCAGCAGGUUCUGGAUUCUUCUUCCUGACAAUCCUCAGGAAGUGAAGUCUCUGCUGUGCCUUCUUCAGGAUCAGUGUGGAGUUAGCAGUCCAGGUCAGGUCUUUACUAAUGGAGGUGACCAGGAACCUGAAGUCUGGCACCACCUCCACCCUAUCCCCAUUGAUUGUUAUGAGCUGAAGGUCCGGUUUUAAAGUCGAUGAUCAGUUCCUUCAACUUGGAGAUGCUCAGGAUGAGGUUGUUGAUGGAGUACCAGACCGACAGUCACUCCACCUCCACCCUAUAAGCAGCCUCAUCUCCUGAGAUGAGUACAUCAGUUGUGAUGGUGGAGCUGCUUGGGUGGGUGGGGGUGCAGUCGUGGGUGUAGAGGAGGGGACUGUUGAUGUGAGAGAGACCCAGGUCCCUCUGGCUGCUCAGUCUGCUCAGAGUGAUGGUGGAAUGUAUAAUGUGUUUCAAAAACCCCUUGAAGUUUUGGUUCAGCCCGGUCUGUCCUGACUGGACCAAUUUCAGCUGAACAGAGCCUCUUUCUGUGGAGACGAACUGAGAAGGACAAAGAGUCUGAGUCUGUGAGUUUGCUGUGAGGCAAAGUUUGAGAGUUUAAGUUGAUAAAUUAAUAACUGAAUUUUCAGAAAUGAUGAAUUGCUUCCUCAUUCUUUUUGAUCUUCAGACGAUGUCAAGCCGAACUCCAUACUGAAUUGGGGUGUGUGUUCUGUCAUGGAUCAGUGUGAGGACAGAGAGGAGGGAGUCCCUCACUCUCAAAGGACUCUGUAUGGAGAACAUGAGAACCAGACCACAGCUCAGAGGUCAGAGCCUGAAGUUGAACCCAGCUGUGUGUCCCUGAAGAGUGAGUGGUCCAAGUACUUAUCGAUAAACUUCAGAGAACACUCUGACUCUGAGUUUCCAUCCAGCUGUGUGUCCCUGAAGAGUGAUCAUUCCAUGUUUGAACCCAUUUCAUUUCAGCCUGGAGCAGGAAGUGCUGAUGAGCGCGUCAGCCAGCAGAGCUCCCAGGUUCUUCGUGGAGGCUCCGCCCCUCAGGACCACACAUAUCUGGACUUCAUCUUUAUGCUGCUGGAGGACAACAUGGUGACUUUCAUGAAGGAGGAGCUGAAG